rnacentral:rRNA from 1 species
CGCGGUAAUUUGACCGUGCUAAGGUAGCAUAAUCAUUUGUCUUUUAAUUGAAGACUGGAAUGAAAGGUGCAACAAGAAGUUUGCUGUCUUAAAAAAAUAAGUUGAAUUUUAUUUUUUAGUGAAAAAGCUAAAAUAAUUUUGUGGGACGAUAAGACCCUAUAGAUCUUUAUUAUAUAAAAAUAAUUAAUUUUUUAAUAUAAUUUUGUUGGGGCGAUGGUAAGAAAAGAAUAUCUCUUAAAAUUUGUAUAUACUGAUAAGUAGAUUAAAUUAUGAUCCUAAAAGAUGGAUUAUUAGAAUAAGUUACCUUAGGGAUAACAGCGUAAUAUUUUUUUAGAGUUCUUAUCGAAAAAAAUGUUUGCGACCUCGAUGUU